AUGAUUGAGUGAGGCUGAAAGGGCUGCUUUUAGCUCCAGCUGUUUUCUUUUAAAAUCUUAGGAUGGAACUCAGGCCUCGAGGCUGAGCCUAUUUUUAAAGUAAAACUUCCUCCGUAGGAAAGGAUGUACUCUGCUCAGGGUACGUUGUAACACCUAAAGUCUCACUUCCACUCCACGGAGCGUGAACAGCCAAAAGGGCCUUCACCAUGCUGAGUCCUAUAGCCCAACGACGGCUCCGGAUGCAAGACCCAGGGCCUUACUUCCGGGAGCCUUGAACACCCCAAAAGGCCUCCAAGAUGUUGGGACCUAACUCAGUGAGGCUCCGGAAGCUCGACAAGAACACACCAGGUUCGUUGGUCCAGGAAGGAUAAAGACAAUCCAAGAAAGGGAGACCCAUUGUGAAGUUAUCCAACCAGAAAUGCACAGAGAGCCCAUGGAUCAUCCCAGAGAACCUUACAGAUAGCAGCCAGGCUUCUGGGAUCAGGGAGAG